rfam:Stentor coeruleus isolate WM001 SteCoe_contig_361, whole genome shotgun sequence.
GCAUUGUUAGUCUAUCGGUUAGGAUGGUUGCCUUCCAAGCAGUCGAGCCGGGUUCAAUUCCCGGACAAUGCA